rnacentral:rRNA from 1 species
UACGUAGGCGGAAAAUUAAGUCAGUAGUGAAAUCCUGCAGCUUAACUGUAGAACUGUUAUUGAUACUGGUUUUCUUGAAUAUAGUUGAGGUAGGCGGAAUGUGUAAUGUAGCGGUGAAAUGCUUAGAUAUUACACAGAACACCGAUUGCGAAGGCAGCUUACUAAGCUAUGAUUGACGCUGAGGUACGAAAGCGCGGGGAGCGAACAGGAUUAGAUACCCUGGUAGUCC